rnacentral:rRNA from 1 species
AUACGGAGGGUGCAAGCGUUAAUCGGAAUUACUGGGCGUAAAGCGCGCGUAGGCGGUUUAGUAAGUCGGAUGUGAAAGCCCUGGGCUCAACCUGGGAAUUGCAUUCGAUACUGCUUGACUAGAGUAUGGUAGAGGGAAGUGGAAUUUCCGGUGUAGCGGUGAAAUGCGUAGAUAUCGGAAGGAACACCAGUGGCGAAGGCGACUUCCUGGGCCAAUACUGACGCUGAGGUGCGAAAGCGUGGGGAGCAAACAGGAUUAGAUACCCCUGUAGUCC